rnacentral:lncRNA from 10 species
GGACAGGGCCUGGGGACAUCUGAGGGAAGUGAUCCGGGGGGCUGCCGCCCACCGAGAGGGGCAGGCUUCGACAGCGCCACCCUGCCGCACAUGCCCGGCGCCUCGCCGGCCCUCUCCAAAGGUGUCCAGGGGCUGCGCCGCGACACUUUCCACCGAGCGUCUGCCAGCAGCUGGACCCCGCUCUCCAAUGGCCGCCGCCGCCAAGUCCCCGGGGCUCCCGCACUCCGGGCCGGGCGCGAAGGUCACCGCCCUGCACCACCUUGGGCUGCGCGUCCAUUUCCAAGAGGCAGGCAGUGGGGAGAGGGGAGCGGGGGCGCUGUGUUCCCUUUCCCUCUCAUCACUAACCUCCCACCUUCCAGCGGUUUCUGAAGGUCUCCAGAAGAAGAAUUCUUAGCGAUCUACAGGCAAGAGAUUUGCUCUCUAAACUCCUCCUUCUCCCAGAAGAGCUCUCCUACCCAGAGUCCCUCAUGCUCAGCAUGCAGUGCAGACAGAAAUAGCAGCCAUCUACAUGAAUUGUGGAUCCACGCACUCAUUCCAAGAUCUUCUUUCAGCGAGCAAUGGAUUCUUCAUGCAUGUGAUCCUCACUACGUACCCUACAAAGACCUUGCUAAUGCUUAGAGAUCAAAUUAUUUGUGUAUCUUUUCAGUGGAGGAAAUGAUCCAUCCACCUGAUAGUGUGUGAGCUUGUAUCCCCUCCUUCUUUUUCCCUCUCAUGGGAAAACAAAUCAACUGUUUUUCCUUUUCCUUCUCACAGACUGCAAGUCAUGCUAUCUUUCACCAAGGAGGAAAAGUUGCAUCUGAGUUAUUGCUGUGAAGAAGUAGUUUGCAGGCACGGGCAGCUGGCAUUUUUUUGUCUCUAUGUGAAGAGGAUCAAUGCAAUUCAUGUUUUCUUGUUCGCACAAAGCUAGAUUUGAAAAUUCCUGGAAAAUCAAGGAAAUGUUUAGAGAAAUUGUUAAAAUUUUGGGAAACAGGAAAUCUGAGAGGAAGGUCAGGUUUUCGUAGUCUGGAUAUGCUAUCGGAGAAGUGAGAAGGGGUGAGAAGAUGGGUAGGGUGAGCUUCUUUCUUUUCUAGGCGCUCAUCCCCUGAUUGGCCAAUGUGUUGGUUUCCUAGGGCUGCUGUAACAAAUAAAG